rnacentral:rRNA from 1 species
GAUGAACGCUGGCGGCGUGCCUAAUACAUGCAAGUCGAGCGAACGGACGAGAAGCUUGCUUCUCUGAUGUUAGCGGCGGACGGGUGAGUAACACGUGGAUAACCUACCUAUAAGACUGGGAUAACUUCGGGAAACCGGAGCUAAUACCGGAUAAUAUUUUGAACCGCAUGGUUCAAAAGUGAAAGACGGUCUUGCUGUCACUUAUAGAUGGAUCCGCGCUGCAUUAGCUAGUUGGUAAGGUAACGGCUUACCAAGGCAACGAUGCAUAGCCGACCUGAGAGGGUGAUCGGCCACACUGGAACUGAGACACGGUCCAGACUCCGACGGGAGGCAGCAGUAGGGAAUCUUCCGCAAUGGGCGAAAGCCGAACGGAGCAACGCCGCGUGAGUGAUGAAGGUCUUCGGAUCGUAAAACUCUGUUAGUAGGGAAGAACAUAUGUGUAAGUAACUGUGCACAUCUUGACGGUACCUAAUCAGAAAGCCACGGCUAACUACGUG